UACGUAGGGGGCAAGCGUUGUCCGGAAUCAUUGGGCGUAAAGCGCGUGUAGGCGGCCCGAUAAGUCCGCUGUGAAAGUCCAGGGCUCAACCCUGGGAUGCCGGUGGAUACUGUCGGGCUCGAGUCCGGAAGAGGCGAGUGGAAUUCCCGGUGUAGCGGUGAAAUGCGCAGAUAUCGGGAGGAACACCAAUGGCGAAGGCAGCUCGCUGGGACGUUACUGACGCUGAGACGCGAAAGCGUGGGGAGCAAACAGG
rnacentral:rRNA from 1 species